rnacentral:rRNA from 1 species
CCUACGGGAGGCAGCAGUGAGGAAUAUUGGUCAAUGGGCGAGAGCCUGAACCAGCCAAGUCGCGUGAAGGAUGACGGCCCUACGGGUUGUAAACUUCUUUUGUCAGGGAGCAAUUGGGUCCACGCGUGGGCUUAGCGAGAGUACCUGAAGAAAAAGCAUCGGCUAACUCCGUGCCAGCAGCCGCGGUAAUACGGAGGAUGCGAGCGUUAUCCGGAUUUAUGGGGUUUAAAGGGUGCGUAGGCGGAAUAUCAAGUCAGCGGUAAAAAUUCGGGGCUCAACCCCGUCGUGCCGUUGAAACUGGUGUUCUUGAGUGGGCGAGAAGUAUGCGGAAUGCGUGGUGUAGCGGUGAAAUGCAUAGAUAUCACGCAGAACUCCGAUUGCGAAGGCAGCAUACCGGCGCCCAACUGACGCUGAAGCACGAAAGCGUGGGUAUCGAACAGGAUUAGAUACCCCGGUAGUC